rnacentral:rRNA from 1 species
GAUGAACGCUGGCGGCGUGCCUAAUACAUGCAAGUCGAGCGAACAGACGAGGAGCUUGCUCCUCUGACGUUAGCGGCGGUCGGGUGAGUAACACGUGGAUAACCUACCUAUAAGACUGGGAUAACUUCGGGAAACCGGAGCUAAUACCGGAUAACAUGUUGAACCGCAUGGUUCAACAGUGAAAGACGGUCUUGCUGUCACUUAUAGAUGGAUCCGCGCCGCAUUAGCUAGUUGGUAAGGUAACGGCUUACCAAGGCAACGAUGCGUAGCCGACCUGAGAGGGUGAUCGGCCACACUGGAACUGAGACACGGUCCAGACUCCUACGGGAGGCAGCAGUAGGGAAUCUUCCGCAAUGGGCGAAAGCCUGACGGAGCAACGCCGCGUGAGUGAAGAAGGUCUUCGGAUCGUAAAACUCUGUUAUUAGGGAAGAACAAAUGUGUAAGUAACUAUGCACGUCUUGACGGUACCUAAUCAGAAAGCCACGGCUAACUACGUG